rnacentral:RNase_P_RNA from 2 species
GGUAGGCAGGUAGUCAGCUAUCUUAUUCUUGCUCUAACAGGCGAGGACGAGAGGAAGGUCCGCCCACCAGUAAGCCAUUUGCUGUAAAGGCAAACUGCUGAAAGGCAGGGCGAAAUCUGGCACAGAAACGACACAGCUCUGUGGAGCUAUGAGUUCGAGUGUUAAGUGCCUGCGCAUUUUGUAAACAGAGGCUUGGGAUAAAACCUAGGCUCAUGCAUAAAGUGCAGCACUUACCAAAAGCGAACGAGCUAUGAAACGCUCAGAAAUGCAAAACAUUUCUGGCGUGCCGGAAAACAUUGUUUUCCGAGCACAGAGAAUUGAUGAAACGGCCAUCCUGGUUGGUGCAACGCGAAAAGCGGCUCAGUGGAAUGCUGACAUCUUCUUUCCCUAGUUGUCCUGGGGGGACUUAGGGAGAAGAAACAGAAGGCGGCCUAUUCCUGCCUACC